UGAGAAACCCAAAAGAUCGAAUGGGGAGAUUCAUCGUCAGCGAUCCUGGCACGUGUGCGGUUCGUGAUGUCGGGGGGCUUCGGUCUCGCGGCACACGUCCGCAUGGUUAUUUGCCGGGCGUCAUCGGCGUGCACUUCUCCCCUAGUAGGACGUCGCGACCCGUUGGGUGUCGGUCUACGGCCCGGGUGGGCGCCUGUCAUGCGUUACGCCUCACGGCGUCAUGUGACAGACCCCCGGUUGUCUGACCAGCUGCCCGGCGGUACUCGCACGGUAUCGGGCCGCAAAUAUUUGAACUGCGUCCGGCCCGCCGCAAGCGAGGCCAGUGUCACCCGGAUGUACGGACCUAGCGCCGUCACCGGGCCUGGCCAGCUGUUGGUCGGCGGUGUCCUGGGACUGGCUCUUAAUUAUGAU
rnacentral:rRNA from 1 species